rnacentral:rRNA from 1 species
UACAGAGGGUGCGAGCGUUAAUCGGAAUUACUGGGCGUAAAGCGCGCGUAGGCGGUUUUGCAAGUCGGGUGUGAAAUCCCCAGGCUUAACCUGGGAACUGCAUUCGAGACUGCAUUACUAGAGUAUGGGAGAGGGAAGUGGAAUUUCCGGUGUAGCGGUGAAAUGCGUAGAUAUCGGGAGGAACACCAGUGGCGAAGGCGACUUCCUGGCCUGUUCUUGACGCUGAGGCGCGAAAGCUAGGGGAGCAAACGGG